CCUACGGGUGGCAGCAGUGAGGAAUAUUGGUCAAUGGACGAGAGUCUGAACCAGCCAAGUAGCGUGAAGGAUGACUGCCCUAUGGGUUGUAAACUUCUUUUAUAUGGGAAUAAAACGUUCCACGUGUGGGAUUUUGUAUGUACCAUAUGAAUAAGGAUCGGCUAACUCCGUGCCAGCAGCCGCGGUAAUACGGAGGAUCCGAGCGUUAUCCGGAUUUAUUGGGUUUAAAGGGAGCGUAGGUGGAUUGUUAAGUCAGUUGUGAAAGUUUGUGGCUCAACCGUAAAAUUGCAGUUGAAACUGGCAGUCUUGAGGACAGUAGAGGUGGGCGGAAUUCGUGGUGUAGCGGUGAAAUGCUUAGGUAUCACGAAGAACUCCGAUUGCGAAGGCAGUUCACUGGACUGCAACUGACACUGAGGCUCGAAAGUGUGGGUAUCAAACAGGAUUAGAUACCCCAGUAGUC
rnacentral:rRNA from 1 species